UACGAGGGGGGCAAGCGUUGUUCGGAAUUAUUGGGCGUAAAGGGCGCGUAGGCGGGCUGCCAAGUCCGUAGGUGAAAUCCCCCGGCUCAACCGGGGAACGGCCUCGGAUACUGGCGGCCUGGAGGGGGGUAGGGGCGUGCGGAACUGUGGGUGGAGCGGUGAAAUGCGUUGAGAUCCACAGGAACUCCGGUGGCGAAGGCGGCACGCUGGACCCUUUCUGACGCUGAGGCGCGAAAGCCAGGGGAGCGAACGGG
rnacentral:rRNA from 1 species